rnacentral:rRNA from 1 species
AUUGAACGCUGGCGGCAUGCCUAACACAUGCAAGUCGAGCGAGCGGCGGACGGGGGUGUAAUGUCUGGGAAACUGCCUGAUGGAGGGGGAUAACUCCUGGAAACGGUAGCGAAUACCGCAUACCAUCAGAUGUGCGCAGAUGGGAUUAGCUAGUAGGUGGGGUAACGGCUCACCAAGGCGACGAUCCCUAGCUGGUUUGAGAGGAUGACCAGCCACACUGGAACUGAGACACGGUCCAGACUCCUACGGGAGGCAGCAGUGGGGAAUAUUGCACAAUGGGCGAAAGCCUGAUGCAGCCAUGCCGCGUGUGUGAAGAAGGCCUUCGGGUUGUAAAGCACUUUUAGCGGGGAGGCGUUACCUGCAGAAGAAGCACCGGCUAACUCCGUGCCAGCAGCCGCGGUAAUUC